AGUUUGAUCCUGGCUCAGGAUGAACGCUAGCUACAGGCUUAACACAUGCAAGUCGAGGGGCAUCAGUUUGGUUUGCUUGCAAACCAAAGCUGGCGACCGGCGCACGGGUGAGUAACACGUAUCCAACCUGCCUCAUACUCGGGGAUAGCCUUUCGAAAGAAAGAUUAAUAUCCGAUAGCAUAUAUUUCCCGCAUGGGUUUUAUAUUAAAGAAAUUCGGUAUGAGAUGGGGAUGCGUUCCAUUAGUUUGUUGGCGGGGUAACGGCCCACCAAGACUACGAUGGAUAGGGGUUCUGAGAGGAAGGUCCCCCACAUUGGAACUGAGACACGGUCCAAACUCCUACGGGAGGCAGCAGUGAGGAAUAUUGGUCAAUGGACGCGAGUCUGAACCAGCCAAGUAGCGUGAAGGAUGACUGCCCUAUGGGUUGUAAACUUCUUUUAUAUGGGAAUAAAGUGGUCCACGUGUGGAUUUUUGUAUGUACCAUAUGAACAAGGAUCGGCUAACUCCGUGCCAGCAGCCGCGGUAAUACGGAGGAUCCGAGCGUUAUCCGGAUUUAUUGGGUUUAAAGGGAGCGUAGGCGGAUUGUUAAGUCAGUUGUGAAAGUUUGCGGCUCAACCGUAAAAUUGCAGUUGAUACUGGCAGUCUUGAGUGCAGUAGAGGUGGGCGGAAUUCGUGGUGUAGCGGUGAAAUGCUUAGAUAUCACGAAGAACUCCGAUUGCGAAGGCAGCUCACUGGAGUGUAACUGACGCUGAUGCUCGAAAGUGUGGGUAUCAAACAGGAUUAGAUACCCUGGUAGUCCACACAGUAAACGAUGAAUACUCGCUGUUUGCGAUAUACAGUAAGCGGCCAAGCGAAAGCAUUAAGUAUUCCACCUGGGGAGUACGCCGGCAACGGUGAAACUCAAAGGAAUUGACGG
rnacentral:rRNA from 1 species